CGAAGGUCCAAGCGUUACUCGGAAUUACUGGGGCGUAAAGCGCGCGUAGGCGGCUUUGUAUGUCGAUUGUGAAAGCCCCGGGCUCAACCUGGGAACUGCAGUCGAAACUGCAAAGCUUGAAUGUUGGAGAGGUUGGGGGAAUACCUAGUGGAGAAGUGAAAUUCGUAGAGAUUAGGUGGAACACCAGAGGCGAAGGCGCCUGACUGGCCAAACAUUGACGCUGAGGCGCGAAAAGCGUGGGGUAGCAAAACAGGAUU
rnacentral:rRNA from 1 species